AUAGAUGCCAGCACACAAGCGGAGUGUAGGCUAGAGGGAAAAAACGACGAGGAUGACCAAAGGAGUUGGAGUAGGAGGCAAAAGGGAAAUAGAAAUUAUAGACUGGUACUUUAUGCCUAUAAUAUCGCGCUGCCAUUUGGCUUUGCUGGUUUACUUGUCCUCCGCCCCCAAGACCGGUCAUCUGCGUGAGGUUUUGGUGACCACGCCCGUGCCAGGAUCAGCCAUAGCGGUUUCCUUCCGGACAUGGCGGUAGAUGUGCGCCAGAGAGGCAAAACCACCAAGGGGCUAAAAUAAACGGGUUUUAUUAUGCGAGGGGGUAGAAAACCUAGUUUUGUAGAUUGAGGGGUGAAGUAGAUCAACA
rnacentral:lncRNA from 1 species